UAGGGAAUCUUCGGCAAUGGGGGGAACCCUGACCGAGCAACGCCGCGUGAGUGAAGAAGGUUUUCGGAUCGUGAAGCUCUGUUGUUAAGGAAGAACGAGUGUGAGAAUGGAAAGUUCAUGCUGUGACGGUACUUAACCAGAAAGGGACGGCUAACUACGUGCCAGCAGCCGCGGUAAUACGUAGGUCCCGAGCGUUGUCCGGAUUUAUUGGGCGUAAAGCGAGCGCAGGCGGUUAGAAAAGUCUGAAGUGAAAGGCAGUGGCUCAACCAUUGUAGGCUUUGGAAACUGUUUAACUUGAGUGCAGAAGGGGAGAGUGGAAUUCCAUGUGUAGCGGUGAAAUGCGUAGAUAUAUGGAGGAACACCGGUGGCGAAAGCGGCUCUCUGGUCUGUAACUGACGCUGAGGCUCGAAAGCGUGGGGAGCGAACAGG
rnacentral:rRNA from 1 species